GUUAUUCUUUCGGACGCUUCAUCUGCCACUAGUUUCCUUCCUGUGGUGAUGACUAUACUACAAAAUGUACCUUCAACUAUGCGAUAUUUUAGUACUGUUUAAAGUAAUGAAACACAGAAAUUGUAACCUUAUGAUAAGCUCGCUGUACUAAAUCUUAUGUCUACCUAUGUUAAACACACAAAAUAAUAAAAAGGAUAAAUAAUAAA